GAUAAACGCUGGCGGCGUGCAUGAGACAUGCAAGUCGAACGAAGGAUCGGGCUUGCUCGAUCCUUAGUGGCGGACCGCUGAGUAACGCGUAGGUGACCUACCCCGAAGUGGGGAAUAACUGCCCGAAAGGGUGGCUAAUACCGCAUGUGGUCGCACGUUCAUUCGUGCGAGUAAAGCCGCAAGGCGCUUCGGGAGGGGCCUGCGUCCGAUUAGCUCGUUGGUGGGGUAAUGGCUUACCAAGGCGACGAUCGGUAGGUGGUCUGAGAGGACGAUCACCCAGACUGGGACUGAGACACGGCCCAGACUCCUACGGGAGGCAGCAGUCGGGAAUUUUGCUCAAUGGGGGAAACCCUGAAGCAGCAACGCCGCGUGAGGGAUGAAGGCCUUCGGGUUGUAAACCUCUUUUGUCAGGGACGAUGAUGACGGUACCUGGCGAAUAAGCCACGGCUAACUACGUG
rnacentral:rRNA from 1 species